AUUGAACGCUGGCGGCAUGCUUUACACAUGCAAGUCGAACGGCAGCACGGACUUCGGUCUGGUGGCGAGUGGCGAACGGGUGAGUAAUACAUCGGAACGUGCCCAGUAGUGGGGGAUAGCCCGGCGAAAGCCGGAUUAAUACCGCAUACGACCUACGGGUGAAAGCAGGGGCUCGCAAUACCUUGCGCUAUUGGCGCGGCCGAUGGCAGAUUAGCUUGUUGGUGGGGUAAAGGCCUACCAAGGCUACGAUCUGCAGCUGGUCUGAGAGGACGACCAGCCACACUGGGACUGAGACACGGCCCAGACUCCUACGGGAGGCAGCAGUGGGGAAUUUUGGACAAUGGGCGCAAGCCUGAUCCAGCCAUGCCGCGUGCGGGAAGAAGGCCUUCGGGUUGUAAACCGCUUUUGUCAGGGAAGAAACGCACUGGGAUAAUACCCCGGUGUAAUGACGGUACCUGAAGAAUAAGCACCGGCUAACUACGCGCCAGCCGCCGCGGUAACAC
rnacentral:rRNA from 1 species